rnacentral:tmRNA from 1 species
GGGGCUGUUAUGGAUUUGACAAAAUAUAUAAAAAUUAUUGUUGCAUGUCGAGGAUUGGUUUGCCUCGUUAAAAAACCAAUUUAAUUAAAUGCAAACAAAACAAAUUACGCUUUAGCAGCUUAAAAAACUAGAUAAAGCCCUUUCCCACUAUUUUAUUUUUUCUCUUAAAUAAAAUAGUUAUAUUUAGAAAGGUUACAUAAAAAAAGAGAUAACUUUAUAAAGUUAAUCUUGAAACAAAUAAAGUUAUAUUUUAUCAAGAUAAAUCAUAAUACUUAGUUUAUUGAGUAUUAUUCUUAUUUAUUAUAAGAUAAACUAAACAUGUAGAUCAAUAAUUUAAGUAAUUUUGGACGCGGGUUCGAAUCCCGCCAGCUCCACAA